UUAAGCGACUAAGCGUACACGGUGGAUGCCCUGGCAGUCAGAGGCGAUGAAGGACGUGCUAAUCUGCGAUAAGCGUCGGUAAGGUGAUAUGAACCGUUAUAACCGGCGAUUUCCGAAUGGGGAAACCCAGUGUGUUUCGUCACACUAUCAUUAACUGAAUCCAUAGGUUAAUGAGGCGAACCGGGGGAACUGAAACAUCUAAGUACCCCGAGGAAAAGAAAUCAACCGAGAUUCCCCCAGUAGCGGCGAGCGAACGGGGAGCAGCCCAGAGCCUGAAUCAGUGUGUGUGUUAGUGGAAGCGUCUGGAAAGGCGCGCGAUACAGGGUGACAGCCCCGUACACAAAAAUGCACAUGCUGUGAGCUCGAUGAGUAGGGCGGGACACGUGGUAUCCUGUCUGAAUAUGGGGGGACCAUCCUCCAAGGCUAAAUACUCCUGACUGACCGAUAGUGAACCAGUACCGUGAGGGAAAGGCGAAAAGAACCCCGGCGAGGGGAGUGAAAAGGAACCUGAAACCGUGUACGUACAAGCAGUGGGAGCACAGAGCAAUCUGUGUGACUGCGUACCUUUUGUAUAAUGGGUCAGCGACUUAUAUUCUGUAGCAAGGUUAACCGAAUAGGGGAGCCGAAGGGAAACCGAGUCUUAACUGGGCGUUAAGUUGCAGGGUAUAGACCCGAAACCCGGUGAUCUAGCCAUGGGCAGGUUGAAGGUUGGGUAACACUAACUGGAGGACCGAACCGACUAAUGUUGAAAAAUUAGCGGAUGACUUGUGGCUGGGGGUGAAAGGCCAAUCAAACCGGGAGAUAGCUGGUUCUCCCCGAAAGCUAUUUAGGUAGCGCCUCGUGAAUUCAUCUCCGGGGGUAGAGCACUGUUUCGGCAAGGGGGUCAUCCCGACUUACCAACCCGAUGCAAACUGCGAAUACCGGAGAAUGUUAUCACGGGAGACACACGGCGGGUGCUAACGUCCGUCGUGAAGAGGGAAACAACCCAGACCGCCAGCUAAGGUCCCAAAGUCAUGGUUAAGUGGGAAACGAUGUGGGAAGGCCCAGACAGCCAGGAUGUUGGCUUAGAAGCAGCCAUCAUUUAAAGAAAGCGUAAUAGCUCACUGGUCGAGUCGGCCUGCGCGGAAGAUGUAACGGGGCUAAACCAUGCACCGAAGCUGCGGCAGCGACGCUUAUGCGUUGUUGGGUAGGGGAGCGUUCUGUAAGCCUGCGAAGGUGUGCUGUGAGGCAUGCUGGAGGUAUCAGAAGUGCGAAUGCUGACAUAAGUAACGAUAAAGCGGGUGAAAAGCCCGCUCGCCGGAAGACCAAGGGUUCCUGUCCAACGUUAAUCGGGGCAGGGUGAGUCGACCCCUAAGGCGAGGCCGAAAGGCGUAGUCGAUGGGAAACAGGUUAAUAUUCCUGUACUUGGUGUUACUGCGAAGGGGGGACGGAGAAGGCUAUGUUGGCCGGGCGACGGUUGUCCCGGUUUAAGCGUGUAGGCUGGUUUUCCAGGCAAAUCCGGAAAAUCAAGGCUGAGGCGUGAUGACGAGGCACUACGGUGCUGAAGCAACAAAUGCCCUGCUUCCAGGAAAAGCCUCUAAGCAUCAGGUAACAUCAAAUCGUACCCCAAACCGACACAGGUGGUCAGGUAGAGAAUACCAAGGCGCUUGAGAGAACUCGGGUGAAGGAACUAGGCAAAAUGGUGCCGUAACUUCGGGAGAAGGCACGCUGAUAUGUAGGUGAAGUCCCUCGCGGAUGGAGCUGAAAUCAGUCGAAGAUACCAGCUGGCUGCAACUGUUUAUUAAAAACACAGCACUGUGCAAACACGAAAGUGGACGUAUACGGUGUGACGCCUGCCCGGUGCCGGAAGGUUAAUUGAUGGGGUCAGCGCAAGCGAAGCUCUUGAUCGAAGCCCCGGUAAACGGCGGCCGUAACUAUAACGGUCCUAAGGUAGCGAAAUUCCUUGUCGGGUAAGUUCCGACCUGCACGAAUGGCGUAAUGAUGGCCAGGCUGUCUCCACCCGAGACUCAGUGAAAUUGAACUCGCUGUGAAGAUGCAGUGUACCCGCGGCAAGACGGAAAGACCCCGUGAACCUUUACUAUAGCUUGACACUGAACAUUGAGCCUUGAUGUGUAGGAUAGGUGGGAGGCUUUGAAGUGUGGACGCCAGUCUGCAUGGAGCCGACCUUGAAAUACCACCCUUUAAUGUUUGAUGUUCUAACGUUGACCCGUGAUCCGGGUUGCGGACAGUGUCUGGUGGGUAGUUUGACUGGGGCGGUCUCCUCCUAAAGAGUAACGGAGGAGCACGAAGGUUGGCUAAUCCUGGUCGGACAUCAGGAGGUUAGUGCAAUGGCAUAAGCCAGCUUGACUGCGAGCGUGACGGCGCGAGCAGGUGCGAAAGCAGGUCAUAGUGAUCCGGUGGUUCUGAAUGGAAGGGCCAUCGCUCAACGGAUAAAAGGUACUCCGGGGAUAACAGGCUGAUACCGCCCAAGAGUUCAUAUCGACGGCGGUGUUUGGCACCUCGAUGUCGGCUCAUCACAUCCUGGGGCUGAAGUAGGUCCCAAGGGUAUGGCUGUUCGCCAUUUAAAGUGGUACGCGAGCUGGGUUUAGAACGUCGUGAGACAGUUCGGUCCCUAUCUGCCGUGGGCGCUGGAGAACUGAGGGGGGCUGCUCCUAGUACGAGAGGACCGGAGUGGACGCAUCACUGGUGUUCGGGUUGUCAUGCCAAUGGCACUGCCCGGUAGCUAAAUGCGGAAGAGAUAAGUGCUGAAAGCAUCUAAGCACGAAACUUGCCCCGAGAUGAGUUCUCCCUGACUCCUUGAGAGUCCUGAAGGAACGUUGAAGACGACGACGUUGAUAGGCCGGGUGUGUAAGCGCAGCGAUGCGUUGAGCUAACCGGUACUAAUGAACCGUGAGGCUUAACCUU
rnacentral:rRNA from 1 species